GGGAAAUGUAGACUUCGUUGACACCCACUGCAAUCCUGUGCCAGGCACAGAUGCAGUGUGUCGUGUAAGCGGGGCGGGGCUGGUAAGAGUGUCGGUGCACCACUGCUGGUGAAUCCUGUGGAACAGAGGAUGUGAUUUGAUGUCUUCCUUCCUUCUCUCCUAGUGAAGGAUUCUUCUCCUCUUUCAACUUCAGAGACUGCUUCCCCCACCACCCACCCUGCACCACCAGCACAGCCCUCCCCUUCCCUUGUUACCACCA